UCGCAGGCUGCAACCCGCCUGCGUGAAGUUGGAAUCGCUAGUAAUCGCGGAUCAGCAUGCCGCGGUGAAUACGUUCCCGGGCCUUGUACACACCGCCCGUCACACCAUGAGAGUCGGGAACACCCGAAGUCCGUAGCCUAACAGCAAUGGGGGCGCGGCCGAAGGUGGGUUCGAUAAUUGGGGUGAAGUCGUAACAAGGUAGC
rnacentral:rRNA from 1 species